UUUGAUCCUGGCUCAGAUUGAACGCUGGCGGCAGGCCUAACACAUGCAAGUCGAGCGGUAGCACAGAGAGCUUGCUCUCGGGUGACGAGCGGCGGACGGGUGAGUAAUGUCUGGGAAACUGCCUGAUGGAGGGGGAUAACUACUGGAAACGGUAGCUAAUACCGCAUAAUGUCGCAAGACCAAAGAGGGGGACCUUCGGGCCUCUUGCCAUCAGAUGUGCCCAGAUGGGAUUAGCUAGUAGGUGGGGUAACGGCUCACCUAGGCGACGAUCCCUAGCUGGUCUGAGAGGAUGACCAGCCACACUGGAACUGAGACACGGUCCAGACUCCUACGGGAGGCAGCAGUGGGGAAUAUUGCACAAUGGGCGCAAGCCUGAUGCAGCCAUGCCGCGUGUAUGAAGAAGGCCUUCGGGUUGUAAAGUACUUUCAGCGGGGAGGAAGGUGUUGUGGUUAAUAACCACAGCAAUUGACGUUACCCGCAGAAGAAGCACCGGCUAACUCCGUGCCAGCAGCCGCGGUAAUACGGAGGGUGCAAGCGUUAAUCGGAAUUACUGGGCGUAAAGCGCACGCAGGCGGUCUGUCAAGUCGGAUGUGAAAUCCCCGGGCUCAACCUGGGAACUGCAUUCGAAACUGGCAGGCUAGAGUCUUGUAGAGGGGGGUAGAAUUCCAGGUGUAGCGGUGAAAUGCGUAGAGAUCUGGAGGAAUACCGGUGGCGAAGGCGGCCCCNGGACAAAGAC
rnacentral:rRNA from 1 species